rnacentral:rRNA from 1 species
CGUACACUCCUGCGGGAGGCAGCAGUGGGGAAUAUUGCACAAUGGGCGCAAGCCUGAUGCAGCCAUGCCGCGUGUAUGAAGAAGGCCUUCGGGUUGUAAAGUACUUUCAGCGGGGAGGAAGGCAAUACGGUUAAUAACCGUGUUGAUUGACGUUACCCGCAGAAGAAGCACCGGCUAACUCCGUGCCAGCAGCCGCGGUAAUACGGAGGGUGCAAGCGUUAAUCGGAAUUACUGGGCGUAAAGCGCACGCAGGCGGUCUGUCAAGUCGGAUGUGAAAUCCCCGGGCUCAACCUGGGAACUGCAUUCGAAACUGGCAGGCUUGAGUCUUGUAGAGGGGGGUAGAAUUCCAGGUGUAGCGGUGAAAUGCGUAGAGAUCUGGAGGAAUACCGGUGGCGAAGGCGGCCCCCUGGACAAAGACUGACGCUCAGGUGCGAAAGCGUGGGGAGCAAACAGGAUUAGAAACCCUAGUAGUCCCAUG